rnacentral:rRNA from 1 species
AUGUCGUCGUGGUCAGGCCUCGCCUUCGUCGUAGCCUCCGCCGUCACGGGCAGUGCCGUGACGCUGGCGGCGUCGGCGUUCUACGACCUCUACUUCCAGCGCUCGCAUGCCUUCGACAUCAUGCCCCCGGAUCUGUCCCCUGGCAGCCGGUACAUCUACACCCGCGCCCAGAACAACGACAAGGCGGAGCGGGCCAUCACCACCUGCAGAGUGCUCAGCGCCUUGGACGCCAGCAGGGCUGAUCCGGUCGUCGGCCGCGACGACGAGAUUGACCGCGUCAUCUGCAUCCUCUGCCGCCGCACCAAGAACUGCGCCGCGCUUGUCGGCGCCGCGGGGGUCGGUAAGACGGCCAUUGUUGAGGGCCUCGCCCAACGCAUCGCCGCCGGGAAUGUCCCGGACAUGCUGGCAGGAGCGCGCAUCCUGGAGCUCGACAUGGGGGCGGUUGUUGCCGGGACAUGCUGGCGUGGCAUGUUCGAAGAGCGCUUGAAAGACGCCAUCAAGCACGCGGAGGAGGCAGGAGGCAAGGUGAUCCUCUUCAUUGAUGAGUUGCACAUGAUUGUUGGCGCCGGCGAUAAAGGAGGCCCCAUGGACGCCGCCAAUAUCCUCAAGCCAGCAUUAGCCCGCGGCCGCAUCCGUUGUGUGGGUGCUACCACUUGCCAAGAGUACCAAAGGUAUAUCCAGACGGACGCUGCACUUGAGCGCCGGUUCCAGAAGGUUGUCGUCGAGGAACCAAGCGUGCAGGGCACCAUCACCAUCCUAAAAGGGCUGAAACAGCGGUACCAAGAGCACCAUGGCUUGAAAAUCCAGGACGAUGCUCUCGUUGCUGCAGCACAGCUCGCCGCCCGUUAUAUUACUGGUCGCCAGUUUCCUGACAAGGCGAUUGAUUUGAUUGACGAGGCAUGCUCUACUGCAAAGGUGCAUUUUGACAAGCAGAAAGUGGAGAAUAAUAUAAUUAGCUCUAUAUUUGCACCGAAGGAGUUAACUGUUGGCCCAGAUCAUGUCGCACAGGUUGUCAGUCGAUGCACUAGAAUCCCUCUCACGACACUUGGUCAAGAGGAGAAGGAGAAGUUAGUCCACCUAGCGGAAAAAUUGCAUGAGCGAGUCAUCGGUCAGGAUGAAGCGGUCAAUUUGGUUGCGCAAGCGGUGCUACGUUCUAGGGUUGGUUUUGGUCAAUCUAGCCGACCGAUAGGUUCAUUCCUCUUUUUGGGGCCGCUUGGUGUUGGAAAAACAGAACUCGCAAAAGCUCUCGCCGAGAGGAUAUUUGACAAUGAGAAGACGUUGAUCCGCUUUGAUAUGUCGGAAUAUGCUGAGAGUGGGUCUCUGUCGCGCCUCAUUGGGGGACCUCGAAGCUAUGAAGAAGAUGGACAACUUACCGAGAAAGUCAAGAGGUCUCCAUACAGUGUUGUCCUUUUCGAUCAGGUGGAUAAGGCAGACCCCUCAAUAUUCAAGGUUUUUAUCCAACUCCUUGAUGAUGGUACGUUGACCGAUGGCAAAGGACACGUCGUAGAUUUUAAAAACACUAUCAUCAUUAUGACCUCAACUCUAGGAGCAGAGCACCUAACAACAAGAAUGGGCAUAGAAAACACAGUCAAAGCUGGUCGGGGUCUUCUUAUGGGGCAGGUUCUGAAACGCUUGAAGCCUGAACUUAUUGACAGACUGAGUGAGGUUGUGAUAUUUGAGCCGCUUUCACAUGACGAACUGAAGGAAAUAUUGAAAAUCCAGAUGAAGGAUGUCAUUGCCACAGUAGCUAACAAGGGCGUCUCUCUAUUUAUAACUGAUGCCGCGCAGGAUGUCAUUUUGUCGGAAUCAUACCACCUGGUAAGUGGCGCAAGGCCCAUAAGGAGAUGGGUGGAGAAGAAUGUGACGACAGUUCUUUCAAACAUGCUGGUCAAUGGAGAAGCUUGUGAAGGCUCGAUCAUCUCCAUCGAUGCUGCAGAUGUUAACAGGGGGCUGAGGUACCAUGUACUGAAGAAGCAGGGGAGCACAGAUCCAUAA